GACCGCGUAGCUCAGUUGGAAGAGCAUUGGGCUAGUAUUCCAAAGGUCGUAGGUUCGAAUCCGGCCGUGGCCA
rnacentral:tRNA from 1 species